CUGUCUUCCUUCCCCUUCUCUUCCUUCCUCCCGGCUGCGUCUCCUUGGCUCCACCCCUCCUCCUCAUCAAUUCCUCCCACACUUCCCUGCUCUCCCUGGCUUUUCACUGGAGGGUCCCUUCUCCCAGCGAGGAGCAGAUGCUGAGCCCCAUUGUCUCUCCCCCAGUGACUGCAGCCUCCGGGGGACAGGACCUGCCACUCUUCACCCCUCCCCCUCAGCCCGCAGACCUACUCCUUUAAAGACUGAAUCCCCAAGGCCACUGCCCCUCACCCCACCCUAAACCAGCUCCUGGUGUUGUGAGCGAUGACUCCAGUCACUCAGAACAUGAUUUGUUUCUGUCUGGGAGUGAGAAAACAGUAGCCUGAGACUGCUUUAGCAAGGAGGACACCAUGGUUUCCAUAUCAGGGUAGUGAGCCCUGGAUGACCCCAGAACAUUCCCCCACUGUGCCCUCUUAAUGGGGAAGAAGCCACAUUCCUGUCAUUUUAUAUCCUGCUUGAUGCACCUAAGCAGUAUCUUCUAGAUAAAGCAAAACAGCUCUGAGAGUCAAGCAUUCAUGUAACAACAAAUACCUACUGAGUUCUGCUCUGUGCCCGCUCCUGUUCUGGGUGCUAAGGACCUGUCAGCACACACAAUCCUCACUUAGGCUUUGCAGAUUGGCAGGGGGAAAAGCAAGAAGACAGACAACCAGAUGCCACUUGUUCCAUAUAAGGAUGAACCAAGGAAGCACCUAAGAGGUUGCUUGGACUAGGGUGGUCAGGGAUGGCUUUCUGGAGGAGGUUACAUCUAGAUGAAUAGGGCUAUGCCAGGCAAAUGCAUAGGAAGGCACAGCCUGUCCAAAGGCCCUAGGGCAAGAGAGCAUAUCCUUAGAGAUUCUUAAAACUACCACAAGUAUUUGCUGCAAUGGACAGUACAAGUGGGGACAGCAGUGUCAGCGCACAACUCUGGGAGGGAAGAGUGGUGGGUGUGUCAGGGCAUAAGUGGGGGAGGGGGUCGGGUACCAGGGAGAUGUUCAAAUUUUAGCUUCUCCUGCUUGCUAACUUCGUGAAACUGGGGUGAUUAACAGCCUCAGUGGAUGACUUAGACUCCAUUUCUUUACUUAUAAAAAGGGUAAGAAGACUUGUGGGUGCAGAGACAGUGUCUUUUUAUGUUUAAGGGUUCAGGCUUACUUGCUGCAUAUUGGCAAGUUGACUUCUCUAAAUUUAAGUUUUCUCAUCUGAAAUAGGGAUGAAAACACUUGACUCAGGGUUUCUGAGAGGUUUAAAUGGUCCCAUUCCCAUCUCAAUGUCUGGGACAUAAGCUCCAAUACAUGGGAGUUUUUAUUCAUUGUUAUAAAUCAGGGAGUGCCAGGGAGGUGCCCAUACAACCUGGAAAUGAGAUUUAUGUUCUGAGUUAAAACUAGAGUGACUCACCAUGUCAGAAACGCAAUGAGCUGGCUGUGGAGGAUACAUUCCUUCAGAGAUGCCCUGUGUCCCUGUGGGUGGUUGGGGUUGGGGAACACCUAUGUCUGAUCUAGGUGGUCAGGGUAUUGUCUCCGAAACAAGACCAGAAUGUGAAGGCUGUGGUUACUAAGGCCUGGCCUGAUCAUUGGAGGUGUAGCCUGACGGAAGAACAAAUAAGAGAAGAGAGUGGGCCUCGUAAAAUCCUGGAGGGCCCCUAGGAGCAGGCGCCUGGCUGUAUUUGCUCAGUGAAGAGAACUAGACACAGAAGUUCACACUGGAGAGGCGAGGGGGAGAAAGACUUUUGACUCCUCCAGAACCUGAAUUAAAUCUCUCAAAACCUCUUUAGUCCUUUGCUUGGGUUCCUUGUUCUCCAAGCAAUUUGCAGAUGAACUUGGCACCAGCAAAAUGCCCCCUGGAUCCAGGCAGACUUCAGGGUUCUUGUUCCUGCAUUGUAAACCUUUUACACUUCUUUUAUUUCUUUAUGACACAAGUUCAUUCUGAGAGAAUUUGAUAACUAGCUAAGCAAAACUGAAAAAGAACCCCUGUAGAGACAUGUUUUGGUGUAUAUCCUUGGACAUUUUAUGUCCACAUAUCUACACAUAAAUGCACGUAGUAAUAAAACUAUACAAAGUAAAUAUUGUUAAACAAAUGAAUGACUAUACGUGUAGAUACAUUAUUUUUACAAAAUUAAACAAGAAUGGUAUAUUCCUACCAAACUGCAACCACUUUUACUUGGUAAUGGUGUCACAAAUCUCUCUCCCUGUCUGUAGACAUCCACAUUAUCAUUCUUAAUGAACAAUAUUAUUCCUUGCCCUUCUCUUACUGGUUAAACAAAUUGCUGGACUUGUGGGAUAUUUCCAGUUUUUCACUUUUGUGGACCUGCUAUGAUAAGCACACUGCACAGUCACCUUUGUGCCAGGUAAAUGUUAUAUUCUGAUCAUCAUUUUACAGCUGGGGAGACCAAGGCACAGAAAAAUUUAAAACCUUUCCAAGGUCACAUCUAUGGAGUGACUGAGCCAGAAUUUGCAGCCCAAGUUUCCAGUUGAGAGCAUCUCUGUUUUCUCCUUUUCUUUAGAGUGACAGUCCCCUCCUCGUACCUCCCCAUUACCUUUUUCUCUUCCAGAUCACCUCCCUGUGAGAACCUGUCUGGGCAGGUGACCCACUUCAUUCUCUGACACCUGGGUAACUUAAGCAAUGUCCAUCUCCUAGGGUUGCUGGGAGGAAUGGAAACAGGCAUUAAUUAAACAUGUCUGAAAAAGAAAGACUCCAUUGUGAAACCAUGAUGAUGAGCAAGACAGGAGGGGAAUUUGAAGUCUUCUCUACUGAGACAGCAAGAAUCAGAAGGAGAAAAUCUAAACCACCUCCUUCAGCUUCUCAGAAGCACCCCGGACAGAGCGCCGACCCUUGACCAGCUUUCGGAGGCUGCACUUUUUCUCGGCAGGACUUCACACCAUCUGAUCUGACAUAUGCCUAAUUGCUUACUUGUUUCCCGUCUUCUCUCCCCACUGGAGUCAGCUUCCUGCGAAGAGAGAACUUUGUUUUGUUUUCUUAAUUAAACUUUUUUAUUUUGAGA